ACAGAGGUUAGCAUUGGGGGGGAGGGGGGGGGUUAUAACAUUUGUGUGAAUGUAACUUUCUCACUCAUCAUUAUUCAGGAUUUAUUCAGGGUUAUCUAAUAAUAAUGGUAUCAUCCACAUGAAUGUAGAAGUGUUAAGAAACAUAGUCUAUUCUUAUUUACAAUAAAAGUGACUCCAAAAUGACACAAUACAUCUGCGCUUUAACAUCAUAGUCGUUUCACAUCCAAAGUACUGGAGUUCAGAGCCAAAGCAACAACAAAAUGUGUCACUGUCCCAAUACUUUAGGAGCUCACUGUAUUUUACCUGACGAACUUGUGAGCGUGAAAGAAGGAAGGCGCUAGAUUGGACCAACCGGAUCACAAGACCUUGUGGAGCUCUCCCAUUGGUUCACCUAAGAAAAGAGCGGAAAAACACUCCUUUGACUUCAAGCUUUCUAUGAAGAUUCAGGGAAUGUUGAGUAACAUGGACAUCUAAAACUGGACAAAAUCACAAUACAGAAAUUGCCUCUUCAAUAUUGCUAUUUAAUUYUUAUGGACAGUCACCUCCGUUUAUCAUUUUUUUCUGAAAAAAAUCUGUGUGUAUGUAUAAUAUCUAAUUGAUGCUGAGUACAGUAAUAAUAGAACAGAGAAAUAUAUCAAUAAAACUACUUUGUUUUCUGAAAGCA